UGAAACACCCAACGACUGCCAUGUAUGAAGAACUUGUAAUUCCUUCCGCAUACUAGAAAGAAAACUAUCAUUGGACUGAGUAAGAUUUUAUGAAUGAAAAUAAAAUUUUAAUUCUGCUCAGAAGAAUUAGUGAAAAAGGAAGGAUGAUUUGUUUGGUUAUGGCAAAGCUCACGAGGGCUAUCUAUCUAACAGGACGAAUGUCUUUGCGGAAAGCAUUUAUGAGGAAAAGUGACUCGUAUCUACAUUACAAAUAAGAAAAACCAUGAAAAUGCUCGUAUAGUGAGCCCCUUCGCCGGGAUUUGAACCCAAGUCGAACAACCAAUGCUCAGCGAUUUAACCGCUCGGCUGAUGGUGAAUCCUUUCAGGAAAGUUCUUUAACAAAGAAGGCAACUGAAAAUAUCUAAGGGAAAAUUAUUGAACUCAUUGUUACUUCACGGCUUAUUUCUAAUAACGUCUUUGCAUGGCUACUCGAAGAAAGAAACGAAAACUUUGAUACUUCGAUGCACAAUUACGACGGACGGCCUGUUAAGCGAAAAGUACCAAAAUUUUAAAUCUUAGGAGAAGGUUCUUCCAGGUUUCGCAUGGAAAGGUUCUUAAAUUUCUCUGACACAGGUAGAUCAUCAUCCUUCGUUCACGAGACGACUAAGACAUUUAUAUUAAAUAAAAUAGUUUUAAAUCUAG